GCCUAGCACCCUUUUAAGUCCGGAAACCAAGACAAGUAUCCACAAAAGGAGAAACAUGGGCCGGGCGCGGUGGCUCACGCCUAUAAUCCCAGCACUUUGGGAGGCCGAGGUGGACGGAUCACAGGGUCAGGAGAUUGAGACCAUCCUGGCUAACAUGGUGAAACCCCGUCUCUACUAAAAUACAAAAAAAAAAUUAGCUGGGCGUGGUUGCGGGCGCCUGUGGUCCCAGCUAUUCGGGAGGCUGAGGCAGGAGAAUAGCACCAACCCGGGAGGCGGAGCUUGCAGUGAGCAGAGAUUGCGCCACUGCACUCCAGCCUGGGCAACACAGACUCCGCCUCAAAAAAAAAACAAAAAACAAAAGGAGAAAUACAGGAUGUUUUACAGUGCUUGUGGUGCUUGAUUUUUAUAUCUUGUCAUUAAGCUAUGCCUUUAUUUCCUUUGUGUUAAACCUCUAUUCUUGUUUACACCUGUUUUCUAUCUGUAGUUCAAAAACAUAAUGAAUAUUUCAUCUAUGUAGUUUCUUUGUAAAGUCUUUUGAGCUCUAACC
rnacentral:lncRNA from 10 species